AGUGAACGCUGGCGGUAGGCCUAACACAUGCAAGUCGAACGGCAGCACAGUAAGGGCUUGCUCUUACGGGUGGCGAGUGGCGGACGGGUGAGGAAUACAUCGGAAUCUACUUUUUCGUGGGGGAUAACGUAGGGAAACUUACGCUAAUACCGCAUACGACCUACGGGUGAAAGCAGGGGAUCUUCGGACCUUGCGCGAUUGAAUGAGCCGAUGUCGGGUUAGCUAGUUGGCGGGGUAAAGGCCCACCAAGGCGACGAUCCGUAGCUGGUCUGAGAGGAUGAUCAGCCACACUGGAACUGAGACACGGUCCAGACUCCUACGGGAGGCAGCAGUGGGGAAUAUUGGACAAUGGGCGCAAGCCUGGUCCAGCCAUACCGCGUGGGUGAAGAAGGCCUUCGGGUUGUAAAGCCCUUUUGUUGGGAAAGAAAAGCAGCAGGUUAAUACCCCGCUGUUCUGACGGUACCCAAAGAAUAAGCACCGGCUAACUUCGUG
rnacentral:rRNA from 1 species